GACGAACGCUGGCGGCGUGCUUAACACAUGCAAGUCGAACGGUGAAGCGCCUUCCUUUUUGGUGGGUGUGGAUGAGCGGCGAACGGGUGAGUAACACGUGAGUAACCUGCCCCCUUCUUCUGGAUAACCGCAUGAAAGUGUGGCUAAUACGGGAUAUUCUGGGUCUGUCGCAUGAUGGGUCUGGGACAGAUAUUGUUUCGGUGGGGGAUGGGCUCGCGGCCUAUCAGCUUGUUGGUGGGGUGAUGGCCUACCAAGGCGGUGACGGGUAGCCGGCCUGAGAGGGUGGACGGUCCCACUGGGACUGAGACACGGCCCAGCCUCCUGCAGGAGGCAGCAGUGGGGAAUAUUGCACGAUGGGCGCAAGCCUGAUGCAGCGCCGCCGCGUGAGGGAUGGAGGCCUUCGGGUUGUGAACCUCUUUCGCCAGUGAAGCAGGCCUGCCUCGUUUGUGGGUGGGUUGACGGUAGCUGGAUAAGAAGCGCCGGCUAACUACGUG
rnacentral:rRNA from 1 species